GAUAAGAGAGAAACAUACCACAGAGCGCGCGCGCGGCGAUGGAGGAAGGAGGAGACUGAUCGUCGGAGGAGGAAUGGAUUCGUACAGAUGACGCAGCUUCUUAGAAAAAAAAGGAGAGGUUUUUGAGAGAAAAAAGUUGCUUCCUUUUUUUUCUUUUUAUUUGUUGCAAUGGAAGAGGAAGAGGAUCGGUUUUUAUAUUUAAAAAAGAGAGAAAAGCAAAUAAUCAUAUCAUCAAAGGAAAAAUUAGGACGAAACAUGCGAUUAAUAGCGGCGGUUGUGCACGUUGCCGGGAAAUUUAGACCAUUUUCACCGGCUACCGGUGGAACCCGUUCAAUGUUCUUUUGCCGACUACACCCAUUUAUUAUGUGUCCCUGACUCGUGAUUAGGCAUAUUCCCUGUUAUUAUGGGUUGCAUUUUUCAAAUUUCAAACCUUUCACGACAGGUCGAAGCUGAUGAAGAAACCUUUUUUUUUUCUUUUCUUUUGGUUACUUGAUAAUGGGCCUAUUUUAGAUGGGCCUCGACUGGAUUUACCAACAAACUUGUGUGUCCAUCUUAUUAUAUACUUUAUGAUUUGUUAUUUCAGAAGAUGACCUUUGUACGUAUAUUCAAGAAAAGUGACGCAUUGUUUCGGAUACCGUUCCGUUUGGAUCGAGUAUUUCGGAUUUCGGAUAUUUUAUUAUAAAAGUUUAGAACCUGUUAAUUUUAUAUACCGGGCCGGAUUCGAAUAUCCCUAUUUCGGGUUUGGGUAUUUAUAGUGUAUACUUUGCAGAUAAAAAAAUUAGUAUUUUGUAGGUGCUUAAAAAUGUGGAGAAAAGAAAUAUUGUAAUGGCCAGAAUGAGAAGAAAGUUAAGAUGUACCAAUGAGAUCUCUUUACACAUCUUUAUUCUUUCUUUCUUCUUCUUAAUUAAGAAUUCACCUCACACAAACAAACGUGCUUUGAUCUCACUCUUGAAAUCAGAUGCAGAAGAAAAGCAAAGCUUUUCAAAAUUUUAAGAUCUCUAUAGAACCACUAGGAAAACUUCGAUGCAAUCAAAUUCUACAUAAUUAAAUCAAUCUCAAUUUUAAAUAGGCUUAGCUUUGUUUCAACAAUUUCAACAGAUUGCACAGUCGGCUAAACUAAAUGGAGAAUGAGAGAUGUAGAUUUAAUGUUAUAUAUAUGUAUGUUCGGGUAUCCGAUAUAAUUAACCGAUUGGGUUCGGUUAUCUGGACAUGCUCAUAUCAAAACAUGUUUAACUACUUUGCUAUUUUGGUUGUAUCGGGUAAAAUACCCAGACCUAUUUUGAACCAUUACAAAAUCAAGUUCUUUAUAUCUUAAAGUAGUAAUAGUGAAUGGUAAUGUCAACACAAAAUAAGUGUUCACUUUCAUGUACGUUGGACUAGAGUUAUCCGAUUUUAGUUUAUUACUUUAAUCUCUUAAUCCUCUUCAUAUUGCUAACCUGAAUCAGAUGAAACUUAUAAGUUGAAGUAUUGAACCAUUGUAGAGUAUCUAAAUCUUUGUAACAUUUUAUUUUCUGAAAAUGAUGAUGGUAAUAAAAAAGGAAAAUUAAAAGCAGGCAAAAACAAUAUGAUUUCAUUAAGAUUGUUUUCCCCGAUCACACAAACAUUCAUUCACAUAUAUCCCCACACUGAUGCCAGAAAUUAGAAAAAGACAAUAAGAAAUUGAAACUUGCCAAAUUUGUACACACACCAUAACAACCAUUUUGUAAUUGUUUUUCUUAGGCCGCACUUCUGAAGGACCCGAGGGAUUUGGAACCGGAAGCUCUUAGGACGAAUUGGUGGUAAAAUGCA